rnacentral:lncRNA from 1 species
UUUUUUUUUUUUUUUUUUUGUUUGCCAUCCGGUUUUAGAGUCCACAUGGAAGCUCGACUAAAUUCAGAUCGCAUUGUGCAGAGUCCAUUUGGAAGUGCUCCCAACAGAAUUUUGUUCAUACCCAAGGCUCGAACUCGAGACUUCUGAUUAAGGAUGAAACAAUUUCACCACUGCACCACAACCCGGUCGGUACCUUGUUGGUAGUUCAAUUGCCAGUUGGAAAUCCCCUUCUUCUGUACCUUAAUUUAUUAAAAGAAAAAAAGGUGAAAUACAAAUUACUUAACUACACUCCUUUACUUACCUUAAUAUCCAUUUAUCCCUACUUAUUUCAAAAUUUUCAAAAAUCCCUUAUUUACCUAUGUAUCCCGCAUGUAUCCCGUGCACAACGCUAUGUAUCCCGCUAUGUGAAAUGUAUCAAACCUAAUGUAUCCCGUGUACAACGCUAUGUAUCCCGCAAACAUCAUUUUUAAGGGAUUUUUGGUAAAUAAAAAACUAGAAGGGAUAGGAUGUUAUUUAGUACUUAUAAUAUGUGGUUCCUAUAAUUUAUACUAAAAUUUAUGCAAAGCAACUUUUGUCGAAGUUCAACUACCACGAAGAAGAGAGGGAGGAGUGGAGAAGAGCGCAACUCUUCUUUGUACUUUGCAGGUACUCAGAAAAAUCCUCUUUUUUCUUUCUUUCUAAUUUCUGAAGCUUUCUUCAAUAAUUUGAUCCGUUUUCACAUGAUGUCAAGUUUGAAUCUGAAUUAUAAAUUGUUCUUACUUAUUGCUGCUCCUUCAUCUUGGAUUUAUCUUCCUUGUUACAAAGGAUUUGUUCUAUACCUAAACAAAUUUGAGUGAUUAAUUUGUUACUCCUUGUUUCAAUUUGUUUGUCUAGUUUUGACUUAAUACGGAGUUUAAGAAACUAAAUACUUCAUCCGUCUCAUUUUAUAUGUGUUAGUUAGACUUGCCACCAAGCUUAAGAAAAAGAGGAACACUUUUCUUUUUUUUAUACCAGACUAAAAAAGAAAGUGAGUCAUGGGACAGGGGGAGUACAACUUUUUGAUCUAAUGAUGUUGAAUUAAAGGUACGUGAAAUGUGUCAAAAUGCUCAUUAAUCUCAUGUCUUGAACAUGUCAUAUGGGAAGUUGGGAACUAAAGAGUGAGACAAAUAAAUUGAAAUGAAAGGGAGUACAUUUUUUGAUCAAUGUAUAUGAAAACUCUGACCUCACUAAUAAGUAAUAGCUCAAACAGUUAGAUUGACCUAAAGCUGGUUAUUUUAGGACGGAAAGGUUGACAUUUUUCUGAGUCUCUUGAUUCAUACUAGUUGUAUAAGCAGGGGCAGAGCUAGAGUCUAAUUACGGUUUUGGUAGGACUUAGUAGCUUUAGUAUUUAACUUAAGAAAUUCACCUAGUAUGCAAAAACUUCUAAAAUUCAGAACCCAUAAACGCAAUAUUCUGGAUCCAUCUCUAAGUAUAAGACCCUGUUUUGACACUUGAAUAGACAGACAAGAUAAAAAAUCUACAAUGCGAGAAAUGUAACAUGUGAGUGCUCGUGUUUUGCAGGUGCAAGCUAAAUGGCAGGGGAGCCAGUUAACGUGAAUGAAUUCCAAGAGCUUGCUAGGCAAGCCCUUCCGAAAAUGUACUACGACUACUAUACUGGAGGAGCUGAGGACCAACACACCCUUAAAGAAAAUGUAGAAUCAUUUCCUAGAAUCAUGUAAGUUUGUAAUUUCUCGCUGUUGAUUUAGCCACAGACAUAUAUCUAUCACUAACUUCUCAAAAACUCAGUAUUCGGCCUAGAAUACUUGUUGAUGUGAGCAAGAUAGAUAUGUCAACUACUAUUCUAGGUCACAAGACGUCAGCUCCUAUUAUGAUUGCCCCAACGGCCAAGCAUAAAUUGGCACAUCACGAAGGUUUGUAUUAAAUCAAUUAGCACCCUAGUCACUUAGCUGAACAUACAAUGUAGCUCUGAUUCCAUCAAACUGUUGUAUUUAUGCCAGGAGAAGUUGCAACAGCGAGAGGAGCUGCAGCAUGUGAUGUUAUUAUGGUACUUCCUCCAUGUUUGUCUUGUUUUCCCUUUUGUCCAUUUCAAAAAAAAAAAACCUCUACAAGAUUAAAGGGCAUUGGUAAAUUCCACAUAUCUUUAGUUUAAGACCACACGAUUCAAGAGUCCUCUAUUUUCUUAAACUUCGUGUCAAGUCAAAACUAGGCAAACAAAUUAAAACAGAGGAGUAAUAUUUUUCCAAAGCGGAUCAAUUUCAAAUUCUGGUGUGUGGAUACUGAGUUCUCUUGGUUAUAGGGACUGUCAUACAUGUCAACCUGCACAGUGGAGGAGGUUGCUACCAGCUGCAAUGCUGUUCGCUUUUUCCAAAUAUACGUAAAAUUUCUUCUCAACUAUCAUGAUCUCCAUGUAUCUUUACUGGUUUUUAUGUAUUGAAACAGAAUGUUACAUUUCAUUUGUCAAUAGGUUUACAAAAGAAGGGAUAUAACAGCACUUAUGGUACGUAGAGCUGAGAAGAAUGGAUUUGGGGCUAUUAUUCUUACAGCUGAUACUCCGAGACUUGGUAGAAGGGAGGCAGAUAUAAAGAAUAAGUAAGCUAUAUAUCUUUUUGAUGUCACUCAAGUGUAGCUAAAAUCCUUUUCAUCGUUUUCUUCAAUCUUGUCUGGUUAGAAAUUAGUUUCAUCAUUCCACACUUUUAAGGAACUUUUUGUGUAGUUUUGGUACUCCUGAGUUGAUCUAGAAAGAAAAGAGUCACAAUUGCAGGAUGAUCGCACCUCAGUUGAAGAACUUCGAAGGUCUUAUAUCAACUGAAUAUGUUUCUGUAAGUAAAACCAUAUAUUCUGGCUUUACAGACAAAUCACUUUUCAAACUGAAAGAGGAGAAUUUCAAACUCUCUUAGGAAACAAAAUUUAUUCUAUGACUGAAAUGACCAUAAUUUGCUAUUUUUUUCUACUAAAUCUGGAGUUCUUUCUGAAUGAUUCAUUCAUUUUAUCUUUCCAUUUGUUCAGGGUGGAUGUUGACGCUAGGAUUAGCUUCAACAAUUGCCAUGCCAGAACACAUGCUAUCACUCCUAAAAUAAAGUUCCUUGAGUACCAAACACUUAGGUCAUGUUUUUCACAAGUAAUGCAAACUGAAAUGGUUAAUUUGACUAUGAAGUAGAAACUAUAAAGUAGGUACUUCUUUUGCUGCCCAGUAGGUAGAACCUAAGUUUCCAUCAAUGGAAAUACAGUUUUGACUUGCAAAUUAGCUGAUCUCUUCACUAGUUGUUAACUUGCUAUGAUGCUUGAGUUUGGGAAAAGAUACUUCUACGUAUUACAAUGUAUUUGGUAACAAUGACACAGGCUUUCCCCUAAGCAUUGCUUCUCUUUUCCCCCUUUUUUUCUCGUUUGAACCUGAAAUUACAUCCUCAUCAGUAGGAUAUUUGUCUAGAGAAGUUAAUCCAUUUGACUGCACUGGUGUGCUACUUCAGUUUGUUGAAUAUGAUGCACAACGCUUCUCCACUCAUCUAUGUGUUGCUGCUUUAUAUGCUUUCACGUUCUUCUUCAUUAGUUUGAUAUGCAGAACAUCGUAAUCUAUCAACUUGGAAAUGGUAUAGUUCAUGCUUACUGAUCGAUCUACUAAUAAAACUCUACAGGACAAGGGCUCAAAUAUUGAAGCCUUAGCUGCAGGAACUUUUGAUGCUUCUCUUUGUUGGAAGGUACAAAGUUUAAAGUUUAUUCAUUUUUUUUCCUUAAUAUACCACAUGAGAACACUGGAUGAUAUUAUAUCAUUGAUAUACACUCUUGGUCCUAGAACAAACAUUUUGGUUGAGGAUGUCAACAUAUGUCAAAAUAAGUAAAUUGUUGAGCUACAAAGUACAUUUAGAAGAAUCAGAUUCUCAUUUUUUACCAAAAAUACAAAUAUGAUCAACUGCAUUCUUUUUUCGAAUCUUUUAUGAUCCAAAAACUUUGCAGGAUAUAGAGUGGUUAAAAUCAAUUACCAAGUUGCCAAUUCUGAUUAAGGGCAUUCUGACUUCUGAAGAUGGUAUUUAUUACUGAACCCUCGAUGUCUGCAUAGUUUAGUUUUGUGCACUGAUUAUGUAUCUAAGAGCAUGUACAAAGCAAAUGGCCAUGAAAGCUGGAGGUUGGUAUUAAGUUGUAAAUUGUACGUGGGGAAGUUCAGAAGGGAGCUGGUGAAUGCAAAAAUCUGAUAGUAACUGCAGUCAAGUAAGGAAAAUAGAGGUACAAACAAACAUCAUGAAGAACAUAGUCACAAAUCUUUUAGGGAGAAAUUCUCAGGAAUAUGAAUUCUAGUACUUAAGCUAGACAAAAAAGAGGUUUCUUCCAGAUACUUGCCAUCAUUCACCAAAAUAAACUCUCUUUUUUUUCAAUCAACUUUUGUUUUUCUACGACAGAGGAGGGUGGUAGAGGUGGAUCUUAAGCUUCUUACAACAAUCCAAAUUUUCCCAACUCAAGGGUCUCACUAAUUAGAUGUUACCUUUUAGUACAUGCUAGGAGUUUUAUUAAUUUGUUAGCUAUUUGUAUGUCAAUUGGAUAUACAGAGAACUCUUAGUGAUAGAGAACCUAAUUUACUGAUAUUGGAAUGAGGUUGGUUCAAAUUGAGCAAAACAGAUAGCGAGGAUGCAUAUAGCUGACUCCGACUAACUUGUGAUUGAGGCGUUGUUGCUGUUCUCAGUAAUUGAGCAUCUAUUCUAAAAACAUGGCAUAUGCUUCUGUUUUGCAGCAAUAAAAGCGAUUGAAGCAGGAGUUGCAGGAAUCAUUGUCUCUAACCAUGGAGCUCGGCAACUAGAUUAUGCUCCAACUACUAUAUCUGUUCUUGAAGAGGUUAUUCCCUACCUUAAUAUGUUUAAUGUUGUCUUUUAUAGAAUGUUGAUAAAUUCAAUGGAUUAGCUUUUUAGACUUUUUUAACAGUAAUGUUAGGCAUAGCACAAAAGUUUGUCAGUAUAGAACUCUCAAUUCUUGUUUACAAAAAAUUAAACCACAGAUACAACAUACCUUGGAGGAAAUAUAUAAAUUCUAUGACCUAUCAAAUGUAUAGCAAAGACUCCUGGAGAUGGUUGAAUGCAGCUUCCUGUCAUGUUUGAGUUCCACAGCAAGAUCAAUUGGGUCCUUACAUCAAGCUAGUUAUUGGAGUCAACUUUGUCUUUCACAUUCACAAGUUUAAUCCUUUGUAUUUGAUUGGAUAUCUAAGAAAAAUUGUAUUUGAAAUCCAAACUCGAAUCACAGGUCCAAGCGGAAACAUAACAUUUCUGCAUGUGUAUAAUAUCCACAUAUCUCAAUGGUUUCACCAUUUCAGGUUGUCCAUGCUGUUCAAGGUAAAGUUCCAGUAUUUUUCGAUGGAGGAGUGAGGCGAGGAACAGACAUAUUCAAGGCCUUAGCUCUUGGUGCAAAAGCUGUUCUGGUGAACUUAUUUGAAAAAUCUUACUUCAAUUUCUAAGCUCUACCUUGUUCCUACCAGGGAUUUGGCCUUUUGUUAAUAUAAAGCAUAUACCUGCAGAUUGGUCGAGCAGUUAUCUAUGGCCUGGCAGCUAAGGGGGAGCUGGGGGUAAAGCAGGUUAUUCAAAUGCUCAAGGAUGAAUUUGAGUUAACAAUGGCCCUUUCUGGCUGCUGCAGUGUCGACGACAUAACAAGAAGCCAUGUGAAAACAGAGAAAGAAAGGUUCAUUUGUAGGAUGUAGUUUCAUCCUGAAAGCUGCUAAGUAUAUUUCCUUUAAAUACAGGACCAAGCUCCAAUUCUGCAAUUGUGUUAAAAUCAUAAGCAAAUUUUUAAGUGAGAAGUGUUGUCAAAUCUACGAUAGUGUCACAUCCCUCGUUCCUUUUUGUCUCCCCAUCAAUUGUGAUUGUGCUCGAAUGCUGAAAACUAUGAUUUGGAAUUCCCUUUCCGCUAUAUAUAUACACUGUCACAAUGCAUUAUGCUCUCAAAUCGUCUACAGAUUGGAUCCUGCUUGGACGAAACAAAAUAUAUAGCCAAUAUAUAUAAAUAGAACUGCGUCUUGCUCAUUAGCAUCUUGCCAUCCACGACGUACCCCAAGGCCUAAAAAUCAAAGCUGAGAAGUGUAGCUCAUUUUUCUCCAUUGUGAUGAAAAAUGUUUUUUCUUUAGGUGAAUAUUUCAACAGCAUUAGGCAAAAACAGUCUUCAAGCGAUCUACUCAGUCUCAGUGGAAAACAUACCAAGCACAAACUCGAUAGAAAUUCACCUUCAAACCUGAUUCUCAUAUCCAUCAAAGUUUCGGCAGUACAAACAUUAACCUCAACACACUUGAACAAAAUAAUUAUUUGAAUGAAGUAUAAAGAAGAUGGAAAAAAUCAUUUGAAGUUUUAAAUAUAUAACUCUCUAAAUGUGAUGCUACUACUGCAUGAAGAAAAUAUGAACAAGAACAAUGGAGUGAACAUAAAACUCGCAGUAUACACUCGCCUUACGAAAUCAAAGACAUAAAAUGUUCGAAAUCAAAGACAUAAAAUGUUCACCUCAUAAUAUUCAUACAUGUGAGUACCGCAUUACCAAGCCUUGAUUUCGAAAACAGAAUACAAGAAAAUCUAGACAUUUAUAAAAACUCAUCUAGUCUAAAAGAAAGGCAAUGAAAUGUCAAGACAUAUUUCUGC